rnacentral:tmRNA from 1 species
GGGGCAGACUGGUUUCGACAGCAAGAUCAGCGGGUAAGUAAGCAUGCAGAGAACCGUGGCGCGAUCUCUUAAAUCCCUUGUCACAAAAUUUAACUGGCAACCAAGAGUUUGCUCUUGCUGCUUAAUCCGAAGUAUAGUAGGAUAAGCGUUUUCCCGAAGUAUAGUAAGGAAACAAGAUGUCUCACCAAAGUUCUGUUUCGCGACGUUGGAUUCUGGGGCAUAGCAAUGCGGAAAUAAGUUCUGAAGGACUCCGAUUCAGGAACGAAAAUUUUAGGAGAUAAGCCGUGUGUUGGGUGUUCGCUCUCUGCCCACGGUCGAAAAGCAAUAGCGAAAUAAGCAUGUAGAAAUCUUAUGUGUUGCUUGUUUGGACGAGGGUUCGAAUCCCUCCUGCUCCACAA